rnacentral:misc_RNA from 1 species
GCAGGUCAAGGGCGAGGGAGAGGCAGGGGAAUCAUGUGGCCUCAGAUGCCACUGGCCCGUGGUGCUAGGCCCAUCCCUGGGAUGCGAGGUUUCCCCCCAGUGAUGAUGGGUGCUGAUGGCUUUUCUUAUGGACAAGUGGCACCUGAUGGUUUUGGAAUGCCUGAUCUUUUUGGUGUGGCACACCGUGGAUUUACACCAUUUGGUCCAAGGUUUUCUGGUGAUUUUACAGGUCCUGCAUCUGGCAUGAUGUUUCCUGGGAGACCUUCCCAACCUGGGGCAAUGUUUCCAACUGGUGGAUUUGGCAUGAUGAUGCCAGGACGUGCUCCUUUUAUUGGGGCAAUGGGCCCCACUGCCACAAAUCAACUUCGAGGUAGUCGACCUGGAGGUGUUAUGCCAUUUCCACCACUUCCUACACCAUCUAUUCAAAACAGCAAUAGACCUGUUAAGAGAGAUCAGAGGACAGCAGCUAAUGAUCGAAAUGAUAAAUACAGUGCAGGGUCAGACCAAGGCAGGGGUACAGCCGGCGGACUGGAUGAUGAGGGACAAUACCAGCAAGAAGGAAUAAAGGCUGCCCAUGAAGAUCAAUUUGGUGCGGGGACCAGGUUCAGAAAUGACGAGAGUGAAAGUGAGGAUGAGGCACCAAGGCGAUCAAGGCAUGGGGAAGGGAAAAAGAAGCAACGAGGCUCAGAAGGAGAUGCAACUCCACGCUCUGAUCACUAACAGCACUACUGGCUGAGCUUGAGAGGUGGGUUACAGGCACAUUCACCUAUUUCAGUCAUAGGCUUUAAUGUGAAUACAAUUGAACUAUUUACUCCCCAUGCCUGGGUUGUGUUUCUUAUUUAUUAAGCGUGGGGGAUAAGAGAGGUAUUGGCUGUUGGGCUUUUUCAAUUUUUGCUUUCCUUUUUUUGUUUUUUUUGUUCUCCUUCACCG